rnacentral:rRNA from 1 species
AGAACGAACGCUGGCGGCAGGCCUAACACAUGCAAGUCGAGCGCCCAGCAAUGGGAGCGGCGGACGGGUGCGUAACACGUGGGAAUGUACCUAUUGGUUCGGAACAACACAGGGAAACUUGUGCUAAUACCGAAUGUGCCCGAGAGGGGAAAGAUUUAUCGCCAAUAGAUCAGCCCGCGUCCGAUUAGCUAGUUGGUGGGGUAAUGGCUCACCAAGGCAACGAUCGGUAGCUGGUUUGAGAGAACGAUCAGCCACACUGGGACUGAGACACGGCCCAGACUCCUACGGGAGGCAGCAGUGGGGAAUCUUGGACAAUGGGGGAAACCCUGAUCCAGCCAUGCCGCGUGAGUGAUGAAGGCCCUAGGGUUGUAAAAACUCUUUCGGCGGGGACGAUAAUGACGGUACCGCAGAAGAAGCUCCGGCUAACUUCGUGCCAAGCAGCCGC